AAAUUGUAACUAUGUGUGAAACAAUGGCUUCCAGGUGAGCCGCUUCUACAGAAUUUAUUAUGCAGCAAACGAAGAAAAUUUCAAAGGGGGCAGCAAACAACAAUUAAAAAUUUUCUUUAAGGACUAGCGAGUUACUCCAAUGUUUAGAAUUACGGACGUGUUCAUGAAACGAUUAUACUACCGAAGCCAUGCGUUGACGGCGAUACAUGGACACACUAUAUGCAAGAGAAAUAAAACUAAGGAUUGUAAGCAUUCUAUUAUAAAGUUAAAUGGUGAAACAAGACUGCACACAAUCACAGAAUA